GCCCUCAUCGUCUAGAGGCUCAGGACAUCUCUCUUUCAAGGAGAAAGCGGGGAUUCGACUUCCCCUGGGGGUU
rnacentral:tRNA from 1 species